UACGUAGGGACCGAGCGUUGUCCGGAAUCAUUGGGCGUAAAGAGCUCGUAGGCGGUCUGUCGCGUCGGCUGUGAAAACCUGGGGCUCAACCCCGGGCCUGCAGCCGAUACGGGCAAACUAGAAUUCGGUAGGGGAGACUGGAAUUCCUGGUGUAGCGGUGAAAUGCGCAGAUAUCAGGAGGAACACCCGUGGCGAAGGCGGCUCUCUGGGACGGUACUGACGCUGAGACGCGAAAGCGUGGGGAGCAAACGGG
rnacentral:rRNA from 1 species